rnacentral:rRNA from 1 species
AUUGAACGCUGGCGGCAGGCCUAACACAUGCAAGUCGAGCGGUUGACGGGAGCUUGCUCCCUGAUUCAGCGGCGGACGGGUUAGUAACGCGUGGGAACGUGCCCUUUGCUCUGGAAUAGCCCUGGGAAACUGGGGGUAAUACCGGAUGUGCCCUGAGGGGGAAAGAUUUAUCGGCAAGGGAUCGGCCCGCGUCUGAUUAGGUAGUUGGUGGGGUAACGGCCCACCAAGCCGACGAUCGGUAGCUGGUUUGAGAGGAUGAUCAGCAACACUGGGACUGAGACACGGCCCAGACUCCUACGGGAGGCAGCAGUGGGGAAUCUUAGACAAUGGGCGCAAGCCUGAUCUAGCCAUGCCGCGUGGGUGAUGAAGGCCUUAGGGUCGUAAAGCCCUUUCGCCGGGGAAGAUAAUGACGGUACCCGGUAAAGAAACCCCGGCUAACUCCGUGCCAGCAGCCGCCGUAACAC